AAAUUCAUAUUGCAUCUUUAUUUUACAAAUAAUAGGCUCUGAGCCAAAGUAUAUCAAAAAAUCUAAAAGUAACUUCUACGGUGAAAAAAAAACUUCUUUCAAGAUAAAGUAAAUGGAACAGACUGGCAAAGUAGUAUAUUUUGUAACUUCCCUCAACAUAUACGCCCCAUUAAGUAGAAAACCAAUAGAUUCAGGAAUCCUGCCAAAAGCUUAAUCCGCAGAUUUCCCAGAUAGCAAUGGAUUCAAUGCUUCGUGCUUAUUGCCAAUUGAUUUGCCAAAAGACCAACUCAAGCAUGAAAAGAAUAGUGUACAUAUGCAAACAGUCAAACCAGGUCAAGAACUUUGGGAGAUACUGAUUUUUUGUUUUGUUUUAUUCAAAUUUGCUAUAGCAAAUAAUGACAGGCCAGGAAAAAUUGGAAAUUGGUUGAAGAUGGUCAGAUUUGUACUGAAGCAAAUUGGAGGAUUUUAAAAAUCCUCCAAAAUCCCCUUUGUUGGCUUUUAACAACAUUCAAAUUGUGUUAAAAUAAAAAGAGCCCUCAAACAAA